GUCGUGAAAGAUUGUUUGGCUGCUGGGGGAGAAUGUCCUGGAGCAGGUGAUCAGCAAGGAGGGAGGCUGUUGCUGUGGCUCUGGUGAAAGGUGAUGGAGGCAGGGACCGGGCGGUGGCUGAUGGGAGACAGGCAGAGCCACUGGGCUGGUGAUGGACCGGCUCAGAUCCAGUGGGUGGAAGGAGGUGUCAAGGAUAACAUCUUUGUUUCUGGCGUGGAUAGUGGGGCCCUGGCCACCUUGGUGUGCCCCUUCGUCUCCGGGGUCUCCAGGGGCCUGCUACUGUCCACUGGGCUCUCAGGACCCAGCUGCAUGAUGCCACCUAAACUGCAGGGCCCUCCAAGUCCCCAGCACCAGCGGGGCAGCACCGGUAGGGCCUGGACCUCUUUGAGAAUAUGUUGAAAAGCUGACAUCAACCUCGACGCUGUGGAUGUUGGGCCUGAUCAUUCUUUGGGGUGGGUCUGUCCUGGGCACUGCAGGGUGCUAAGCAGCCUCCACCCAGUCCCCAGUGGCGACACCCAAAACUGUGUCCAGACAUUGACAGGUGUCCCCAGGAGGGAGACUCGCCUCCAUCUGAGAAGCAGAACCAGCCUGACAGUCCACCUCCCGGCUGAAAAGUGCUUGCAUGUGCGAUGUGCCUCCCGCCUGGGAGUCUGGGGGCACUGGGAUGCCAUCCUUGCCCCACCCUGGCUUUCAGAGCUCUCUCCUCUCCUCCUCGUGUGCCCAUGAGUCCGGCUCACAGGAACGUGGGUCUCACAUCAGGUCCUGAGGGAGCAGGUGUGUUUCUGGGCCUGAGGCUGCUCCUUGGUGGUGAGGGUGUCCCCACGAGCCGUGUCUGUGGCGCCGGCAGCUGCCUGCAUGUCCAUCUGUGUCCACAUCUGCCUUUGAGCCUCAUCUUCCUGGCCCCACGGUUUUCUCAUGCUGUGACCCAAAAGCCGAGCAUUUCAGGGUGUUCUGCUGAAAUUGAGUUGUGAGCGUGUCUCUCUCCUCACUCCAGUCUGAAGGAGAAGCGUGGUCUGUAGAUAGAGGUCUCAGACCUUUGUGUUUUCUUCACGUCUGUCUGUUGGCAGGUCCUUACACUAUUGUGGUUGCUUUAGCAACUUAGCUGUUGUGGACUUAAUGUGUUUCAUGACGUUCUGCAGCAAGGAAGAAGGUCCGAGUUUCCACUCUGAAUCAGGCACCUUAUUCCCCUCCCCCUCACUUGACUUCCUGUGGGGUGUGUGGUGUCUGCGCUUAUAGAUGAGAACGCUGAGGCCUUAGGAGGGCAAGGGACUCGCCCACAGUCACGGAACCCUAAGUCAGGGGUGGAGAAGGAUCCCCUGACGCCAGCCCACCUCCCCUGCCCCUCAGCAGGCCUGGCCCCAGCACAGAGAAGAGCCAUUGUUGCUGCUCUGGGGGCCCUAGGAGCCUGGGAUGUAUCCUGCCUUUGUUUCUAGAGCCUUUGUUUGUUACAUUUCCUCUGUCUCCAGACAUCGCAGGCCGGUGGGGCCCGGCGCCUGUGCACGCUCACGUAGCGGGGCCUGUUCGGGUCCCUCGUGGGUCCCUUCAGUCCGAGCUCUGUCCUUGCCUCAGCGGCCCGUCACCCAUAGGGUGGUAGAGAUGGGCCGGGGGAGGGAGUGGGCAGCAGUGCGGACCGAGUCCUGGCGCAUGGGGUUUCCCUGGUGCUGGAGCUGGGCGUUUCGGGGGCGUGGGCGGGGCUGGGGUCAUAUCCCCUGCAUGCCCCGCAUGCCAUGGCUGUACUCACAUGGCAAGAGGUGGUGAUCGCCAGCUCAGGGAAGGUGGGAGUUCCUUCAUCCUGUGGAGAGGGGGCUGAAUCGGGGUCCCCUGAACUGUAGGGUGCCGUGCCUGACAGGCCGUGGGGAGGGCCGAGGGGAUGGGGACUGACAGGCCCCGGGCCCAUGCCGCCCCCUGGCACGGGUGGAUGCCCCGCCUCCCGGGGGUGCCCAGCUGGACUGUGGCACCCCCAAAGGACCCCACAUGUCACUGUUCCCCCGCAGGGCUUCCCACGGCACGACAUGGAGACCUGUGGUUGCGAGGCUCCCUGGGGCUCGGCUUGGACCGCGAUGGGGCUGGGCCCUGGCCUCCUAACGGGGCUGCUGUCUGGGGCGGUAGCUGGGGGGGCACUCUCCCCCCUGCCCGCGACUCGGAGCACCCCCACCCCUCCCCUGCCGGGCCAGGCCGGGUGGCGUUGUUGGCGGGGGCCCCGGUGGAGGCCCGGCCCGGGCGGCGCCCGCCAUGAACGGGCUGUCGCUGAGUGAGCUCUGCUGCCUCUUCUGCUGCCCGCCCUGCCCCGGCCGCAUCGCUGCCAAGCUCGCCUUCCUGCCGCCGGAGGCCACCUACUCCCUGGUGCCUGAGCCCGAGCCGGGGCCUGGUGGGGCCGGGGCCGCCCCCUUGGGGACCCUGCGGGCCUCCUCGGGCGCACCCGGGCGCUGGAAGCUGCACCUGACGGAGCGUGCCGACUUCCAGUACAGCCAGCGCGAGCUGGACACCAUCGAGGUCUUCCCCACCAAGAGCGCCCGCGGCAACCGCGUCUCCUGCAUGUAUGUUCGCUGCGUGCCUGGUGCCAGGUACACGGUCCUCUUCUCGCACGGCAAUGCCGUGGACCUGGGCCAGAUGAGCAGCUUCUACAUUGGCCUGGGCUCCCGCCUCCACUGCAACAUCUUCUCCUACGACUACUCCGGCUACGGUGCCAGCUCGGGCAGGCCUUCCGAGAGGAACCUCUAUGCCGAUAUCGACGCCGCCUGGCAGGCCCUGCGCACCAGGUGAGGGCGACCCUGGGGGCAGCUCAGCCUGGGCACACCCAACAGGGGACCAGGCGGGGGGCCGGGGGGCGGGCUUCCCUGGGAGGAAGGUGGGCGGCCCUGCAGGAGGGGAGCCACAGUGGAUGCACAGGGCCAGAGAGCCGGACAGGCGAGCUUGGGUGUGCAGGUGCCACCUCCACAUGGCUGAGGUGUGGCCAGGCGGUCCUCCCACACCCUGGCCUGUGGAGCCAGGCUCCCUGGGAACCCCUGGCCUGAGGAUGGGAAGGGGCUGAGCUUGUCACAGGGGCGUGGAUGCCACCUGGCGGGAGGGAGUGGGUGGUGGUCUGGGGGUCUGUGCACGUGUGGCUGGGAGCCCAUCGGCCGAGGCAGCACUUGGGGCCAAGUGAGGCGAGGCUGCUGCAUCCAGGUCCGGAGGCCUGGCCCAUGAGGCCCUGUGGCUGCGGAGCUUGGCCAUCCUGGGGCAGGGCCUACAGGGUAAGGUGCAGACCUGCAGCACACAUCCGAGGUCUGGGCCAGCCUCGAUUCCAGAUCCAGCCCUCCUAGUCAUCCACGUCCCCAGCCCUGCGCUUGCCUGGGCCCUUCACCGGUGUUUGAGCACCGCCCGGGCCAGUGCUGCUUUGGACGAGGAGACCCGGGUGGGCCUCUGGUGGCUUUUCCUGCUCGACAUCCACUGGGGCUGUCUCGUCCUGGCCCUGCCCAGCCCACUGGUCUGACCUGCUCCCGCAGGGACCAGGCACAGCUCUGAGAAGUCAGAGGCCCUAGGGAGGUGGGGUCGUCGUUGCCUUGGUGAUAUGCAGGCAGUCCCUGCAGUGGGCCUGGGAGCUGGUCCCCUGGCACCACCCUGGCUCUGGGGGCCUCCCAGCAGUGUGGGACGCUGACACCAAUCACCACUUCAUGCGACUUCCUUGGCCCCUCCUGUCUCUACUGCCUGGGCCACUGGCAGAGUCACACCCGUCAUGGCCAGCUCUGAGCUCUGUCUCAGGCCAUCUGUCCUGCUGCCACUUUGUCCUGCAGGAACCUAGGCCCAGAGCUGUGAGGGGGAGGCCAGAGCGUGCCCAGGGCCUCCACUGGGGAUGUGUCCUGUUCGUUUGAGUGGUGACGUCCAGGUGGCAGCUGGGGGCUCCUGCCUGUAGCAGGUGGCAGGGCUGGGCUGGCUCAGCACACUACUGACCAUGGCUGCCAGGGAGCAGGCCAGGGAGGCCGAGGCAGAGCUGGGGCCACAGGUACAAGCCAGGCAGCAUCCUUUGGGGCAUGGGUACGGCAUCAGCCCGGACAGCAUCAUCCUGUACGGGCAGAGCAUCGGCACGGUGCCCACCGUGGACCUGGCCUCGCGCUACGAGUGUGCCGCGGUGGUGCUGCACUCGCCGCUCACCUCGGGCAUGCGCGUCGCCUUCCCCGACACCAAGAAGACCUACUGCUUCGACGCCUUCCCUAACAUCGAGAAGGUGUCCAAGAUCACGUCGCCCGUGCUCAUCAUCCACGGCACGGAGGACGAGGUGAUCGACUUCUCGCACGGGCUGGCGCUCUACGAGCGCUGCCCCAAGGCGGUGGAGCCGCUGUGGGUGGAGGGCGCCGGGCACAACGACAUCGAGCUCUACAGCCAGUACCUGGAGCGCCUGCGUCGCUUCAUCUCCCAGGAGCUGCCCAGCCAGCGCGCCUAGCGGCGGCCCCAACCGGCCGGACCUCAGCAAUAAGGCGGCCCCCGGACCUCACCCCGCGCCGGCCCCCCAGGGGCUGCAUGUGGACCCCCCGGGCGGCCCAGGGGACCCCGCCCCGACCCAGGGGCUGUGGACGAUGUACAGGCAAGAGAGCUACGCACUCCUUUCCUUUUGGAAGCAAGAAGAAAAUACGUGAAAACGGAAAUUAAAGAUUUAAAAUUUU
rnacentral:sRNA from 1 species